UUGAAAAAUACGAAAAGAAGGAGGAGGAGGAUGUCAUCUCCUACAGCGGUACACUCGCCCACCCCAACUCGACGACAUCGUCCAAUACUCACAGUCAUCAUCCCUCCCUCCACCAUGCUGGAGAGGGUCCUCUCUCUGCGACGCACUACCCCUCACCCCGACGACUCCGUGGCCUCCGCCUCCGCCUCCACUGCCGACGACGAUGACGAAUCCAAGAUCAGGAAGCACCACCGUUUCUUCUUGCACGCCGCGACCCGGGCCUCCAAUUACCUCUCCCGAUUGAGUUGUCCCGCCUCCUACUGGGUUUUCGCCAUCUCGUUGCUUCUCCUUCUCUCCGUUUCCUCCUUGCUCUUUAGUUCGCGUGGCUUCGUGUGCGUGUCCUCUUCUUCCCCAUUUUCUCGGGUCGGCUUCUUCGCUUCGGACGUUCUUGAAUCCGAUUUCGGAGCUCUUGGCGUGCCCUGGUGCAGAUCGAAACAUGGUAAAACAGUUGAAUGGACGUCAAAAGAUCUGCUCAAGGGGUUGGAAGAAUUUGUUCCUAUAUAUGAAACGCGGCCAAUAAAAAAUAACUUGCAUGGGAUGGGUUUUGACCACAGCUUUGGGCUUUGGUUCAUUGCCAGAUGGCUGAAGCCUGAUCUGAUGAUUGAGAGUGGUGCUUUCAAAGGACAUUCAACUUGGGUUUUGCGUCAGGCCAUGCCAGAUACACCAAUUAUUUCACUUUCGCCCAGGCAUCCAGAGAAGUAUCUGAAAAAGGGACCUGCCUAUGUUGAUGGGAAUUGCACAUAUUUUGCUGGAAAGGACUUUGUGGAUUUUGGAAGUGUUAACUGGCUAAAAGAGAUGAAAAAACAUGGGAUUACUGACCUGAGUCGGGUUCUUGUGUUUUUUGAUGACCAUCAGAAUGAAUUGAAAAGAGUUAAACAAUCUCUGAAAGCUGGGUUUCUGCAUCUUGUCUUUGAGGAUAACUACGACACUGGAACUGGAGACCAUUAUUCAUUAAGGCAGAUAUGUGAUCAGUUUUAUAUUAGAGUGUUAUUAAAGGCGCUCGCCUCAGUGCCUAAGGUGCAAAGGCGAGGCGCUGAAUGUGGCCAUCGCCUCUCAAUGAAGAGAGGCGAUGGGUUUGGUCAGGCGCUCGCCUAAGAGCGCCUUGUGCACUUUGCAUGACCAAAAGGCACUCGGCUAAUAGCAACCUGAAGCAGUAGAGAAGAGAAGAUCGAGAUCAACAAGGACUGGGUAUUUGAGAAGCAAAGAUGACAAUUGGGACUGUGUGUUGCAGAAGAGAAGAUGAGGAAGAAGGACGACGCUGGUUCGGAAUAGAAGAGAAGACGAUUCAUCCACCGACUGGAUAUUGCGUGAUCGAUUGGGCAUUGCAAUCAUGAGUCACAAUUUUUAUAAAAAUGGAAGAUUUAUCCAUGGACUCGUGACUCAUAAGCGUGACUGGGCAGUGGGUAUUUCAAUAUUUUAUAUCAUAUUUUAAUAAAUAUGAUAUAAAUAUAGAAAGUUAUUAUAUGAUAUAAAAAAUAAAGAAACUUGUAUCAUAUAAGAAAAUAGGAAAGAUUUUAAUUUAUUAUAAGAAAUUAUUUUUGAUUGAAUUUUUAAAUAUGAUAAGAGAACACAAUUUCAUAUGAAGGUUUAAAUAAAUUUAUAUUUAUCAUUUUAUCUAUGGUUAGUUGGCUAUAUAUGUUGCAUUUUUACAUGGUAACACCUUGCUUGAUUCAAGCGUGCACCUUUCUAGCGCCUUGCGCCUAAAGCAUUUUAUAGGGUUUGUGUCUUGAGUGCGCCUUUUGCCUUUAACAACAAUGUGAUUUUUGGGACGGUUUGGCAUAGAGCAGUAAGAGUACUAGAGGGUCUGGGGUGUUAUAUCAGUUGUCAGAGAUAUUGAAGGAGUAAAAGAGACUAUGUUAUGUUUGAUUGUUUUGGUGGUUUGACCUAAGAGCAAUAGAAUGCCAGAAGAGGGACUGAGGUUUUGUAUCAGCCAUAUUGGGGAAAUAGAGACUAUCAAUUAAAUCCAAUGUGUCGAAGAUGAUCCCACCAUAGUGGAUGACAGUUCCAGCAUUCAGGGGUGAUCUUGACAUGCGGACUUGGGCAAAGGAACAAGCAAUAGGAGGCCACCACAAGCAUUGCAAUGGCAAGCCUGCUGAAAUCAAUAUCAUGAGGAUGCUCGCAAAAGCUGACACUCAGUCGCUAACAUCUGCUGGGGAACACCAGUGACAAAGUGGAGCAAAUCAGUGGUGUCGUGUAGAACUCCAUUUACCCAUGUUAAAGAAUUGGCACAGGCCCUGACAUCGCAAUUAGGGACAUUUUCUGUAGUCAAAGCGAGAGGGGGACACAGCUGCUUUAGAGACAGCGACGAAGCUAGGAUGAGAUCAAGGAAUAAGAAGUUCUGGGAAAAAGCAGUUGAUAUUGAAGAACUUUGUGGGCCAGGGGAAACAUGGUGGGGAGUUAGAGGGUACCUGCGU